UAAUACAGAGGGAGCGAGCGUUGUUCGGAAUUACUGGGCGUAAAGGGCGCGUAGGCGGUCCGAUAAGUCCCGUGUGAAAUCCCUCGGCUCAACUGAGGAAUGGCACGGGAAACUGACGGGCUUGAGUUCGGGAGAGGGAAGCGGAAUUCCGGGUGUAGCGGUGAAAUGCGUAGAUAUCCGGAGGAACACCGGUGGCGAAGGCGGCUUCCUGGACCGACACUGACGCUGAGGCGCGAAAGCUAGGGGAGCAAACGGGA
rnacentral:rRNA from 1 species